AGUUGCCGGCCCAGAUAAAACACUGUAACCAGAAAAGGCUGCACCUAAACUCCUCCCCCACCCUGCCCCCUAUGGACUUGAUUGUAAUUCUGUAUCCCCAUCCUUAAGGACCUGUGCGCCAAUGAGAUAUCUGUGCAUCUCUAAUGAAGUUAGGGUGCUGCCCUAAGCUUAGGUUAUUUAGAUCUCCCACGCCACGUGUCCUAGAGAGUUCGCCGGGGAGUUUUGCCAGAGGGAGUUCGCCAGAAAGAGAGAGCUCGCCAGACUCCAGCGCGCCAGUCUCCACUCCCCGUGUUCCCAGAGACACCACAGCCCGGCCCCGGGCUCCGUGCAGAGAUGCCCGGGGCCGGCACCGCCGGCGGCGGGGGCCCCCUCCCCGCAUUCCCGGAAUAAAGCCACCGCUGACCACUACUGUUACGGCCGUCCACUCCGCUCCAUUCCUCCCGCAGACUUCUCUCUCCGCCUCCCCCUUCUCACAGACCUAACAGAUGGUGCCCUGUGACUCGGCGGCAGAAUUCUGCCUUGCCACCUCAACGUCACCCUGAUAAAAUACCAUCUCAAAACCAAAGUCACCUUCCUAUCUACCUCACCUGGGUCCUUAAAUAUAAUAGUGCCAUGUCUCCUAAUAACAUUAUGUCUCUUUGUUUUUCCAGUCUGACAUACAUACAUUCACCAGUGAAGUUGUCCUGGCUAAAACACCUGGCAUCAGUGUCUACCUGGGCAUCAACCUUCAUCCUGUCAAACUCCCCUAGACCCCAAUACAGCGCCCUCAGCCAGCAGGAAGUAGUUACAGAGAGAGAUCUUCGCCCCUUUUCCUAAUAACCAGAAGACGGGAUAUGAAAGAGUUGCCGGCCCAGAUAAAACACUGUAACCAGAAAAGGCUGCACCUAAACUCCUCCCCCACCCUGCCCCCUAUGGACUUGAUUGUAAUUCUGUAUCCCCAUCCUUAAGGACCUGUGCGCCAAUGAGAUAUCUGUGCAUCUCUAAUGAAGUUAGGGUGCUGCCCUAAGCUUAGGCUAUUUAGAUCUCCCACGCCACGUGUCUGAGAGAGUUCGCCGGGGAGUUUUGCCAGAGGGAGUUCGCCAGAAAGAGAGAGCUCGCCAGACUCCAGCGUGCCAGGGCCCGCGCCGGCCGGCGACGGGGGCCCCCUCCCCGCAUUCCCAGAAUAAAGCCACCGCUGACCACUACUUUUACGGCCGUCCACUCCGCUCCAUUCCUCCCGCGGACUUCUCCUCCUCUCCCUUCUCCCAGACCUAACAUAACUAUAACAGCACCUUUGAAAUAUAGAAAAUAUCACUUCUCUUUA